rnacentral:rRNA from 1 species
GACGAACGCUGGCGGCGUGCUUAACACAUGCAAGUCGAACGGGCCUUGUCCCCUUUUUUUUUGGGGGUGGGGUUAGUGGCGAACGGGUGAGUAACACGUGAGUAACCUGCCCCUCACUUCUGGAUAACCGCUUGAAAGGGUGGCUAAUACGGGGUGUUCUGGCCUGCUCGCAUGGGUGGGUUUGGAAAGAUUCGACCGGUUUUGGUUGUUUUGGUGGGGGAUGGGCUCGCGGCCUAUCAGCUUGUUGGUGGGGUGAUGGCCUGCCAAGGCUUUGACGGGUAGCCGGCCUGAGAGGGUGGGCGGUCACACUGGGACUGAGACACAGCCCAGACUCCUACGGGAGGCAGCAGUGGGGAAUAUUGCACAAUGGGCGCAAGCCUGAUGCAGCGACGCCGCGUGAGGGAUGGAGGCCUUCGGGUUGUGAACCUCUUUCGCCAGUGAAGAAGGUCCUGCUCUUUGUGGUGGGGUUGACGGUAGCUGGGUUAAUGAAGCGCCGGCUAACUACGUG